rnacentral:lncRNA from 1 species
CGAAUAAUAUUUUGCCACGUGGAAGGUCCCAGCGUAAAUGUAGACUGAAUCAAUUAAUGGGGCGACGUGCGAUCUUGCGUGACCAUAAACCAGUGGUGGACGUUCUUUUACCGCGCUACAACCGUCCAUCUCUUCCACGUGUCAAACGUAAGUGGCUUACCCUAUUUCAAAGAUAUUUUCAAGAGAGAUUGAGGAAUGACGUGUCACCAGGGACUAUUGAGAAGCCAGAUUCUGAUCCGUCCUACGUGGAGGAAUCCGAUCCACAGCGGGACCUGAAACCACGUGAACCCACCUGG